rnacentral:rRNA from 1 species
GUGCCUCGGGGGGGUCCCGCCCCGGGAGGGGUCGCAGCCCCGGAAUCCAGGCGCCCGCCGGAGGGACCAACCCAACUCUUUACUGUAGUCCCCUCGCGGACGUUAUUUCUUACAGCUCUGAGCAAAAAUUAAAAAUGAAUCAAAACUUUAAACAACGGUUUUUUUGGUUUUGGCUUC